GCCGCGGUAAUUCCAGCACCAAUAGCGUAUAUUAAUGCUGCUGCUGUUAAAAAGCUCGUAGUUGGAUCAAGAGUCGGACAGUGCACGGUGGCCCUGUUUGUCAUAGUGGUUCCGAUCACUGUGACGGCAGCGGAUCAACCCCGUGCGCCAAACUGUCCGCUCUAACAGACCGAAACGGUUCCCUGUGAGUAGGCUCCUUAAUUGGGGCUGAAAGCGCUUACGCAUCAACCAUAUGCAUACGGGACGUCGGUCAAUGUUACUGUGAACAAACCAGCGUGUCCAAAACAGGCUUUCGCCUGAAUGUUCGAGCAUGGAAUAACAAGGGAUCGAUUCUCUCGGUUCUUUUUGUUGGUUUUUAACCCGAGAAGGAGUAAUUCAGUCCACGGUGUCUGAGUUGGGUUUCCCUUCACCUCGGUGGAGGCCCCAAUUAGGCCGUGUACUUACGGGAUAAAUAGGGACUGACGGGGUCGUACGUACUUCCACGUCAGAGGUGAAAUUCUUAGAUCGUGGGAAGACGAACUUCUGCGAAAGCAUUCGACAAGAAUGUCUUCAUUAAUCAAGAACGAGAGUGUGGGGGUCGAAGAUGAUCAGAUACCGUCGUAGUCCACUACUGUAAACAAUGCCGUCUCAGGAUUGAGAAGUGAACAGAAUGACUUUCACAGCACUAACCCCUGAAACGAGAAAUCAAAGAUUAUGGGUUCAGGGGGGAGUACAUUCGCAAGGCUGAAACUUAAAGGAAUUGACGGAAUGACACCACAAGGCGUGGAGUAUGCGGCUUAAUUUGACUCAACACGGGGAAUUUUACUAGGUCAGGACAAUGUAAGGAUUGACAGAUUGAGAGCUCUUUCUCGAUCCAUUGUGUGGUGGUGCAUGGCCGCUCCUGGUUGGUGGAGUGAUUUGUCUGGUUGAUUCUGUUAACGAACGAGAUCUCGACCCUUAAAUAGGUGCCCAUGUCGAUUGUAGUUUCGCCUCCGCUCGCUUGCGAGAUUGGAGCGGGACGAGACUGUGGGAAUACUUCUUAGGGGGACUGUGUGCGUCUCUAGCACGCGGAAGAGCGAGCCAAUAGCAGGUCUGU
rnacentral:rRNA from 1 species